GUACUGAUAAAGAGUUCCAAACUAGGACGAAACAGCUGUCCAGUAC
rnacentral:hammerhead_ribozyme from 1 species